rnacentral:rRNA from 1 species
AUUGAACGCUGGCGGCAGGCCUAACACAUGCAAGUCGGGCGAGCGGCGGACGGGUGUGUUAUGUAUGGGGAUCUGCCUGAUGGAGGGGGAUAACUUCUGGAAACGGUAUCUAAUACCGCAUACCCUCAUAUGACCCCAUAUGGGAUUCGCUUGUAGGUGGUGUAACGGCGCACCUAGGCGACGACCCCUAGCUGGUCUGAGAGGGUGAAGAGGCACAAUGGGGUUGGGGAACGGCCCAGACUCCGGCGGGAGGCAGCAAUGGGGAAUUUUGCACAAUGGGCGCCAGCCUGAUGCGGCCAAUCCGCGUGUAUGAAGAAGGCCUUCGGGUUGUAAAGUACUUUCAGGCGGGGGGCGUUACCGGCAGAAAAAGCACCGGCUAACUCCGUGCCCGCAGCCGCGGUAAUAC